rnacentral:rRNA from 1 species
UAGGGAAUCUUCGGCAAUGGACGGAAGUCUGACCGAGCAACGCCGCGUGAGUGAAGAAGGUUUUCUGAUCGUAAAGCUCUGUUGUUAGAGAAGAACGUUGGUAGGAGUGGAAAAUCUACCAAGUGACGGUAACUAACCAGAAAGGGACGGCUAACUACGUGCCAGCAGCCGCGGUAAUACGUAGGUCCCGAGCGUUGUCCGGAUUUAUUGGGCGUAAAGCGAGCGCAGGCGGUUCUUUAAGUCUGAAGUUAAAGGCAGUGGCUUAACCAUUGUACGCUUUGGAAACUGGAGGACUUGAGUGCAGAAGGGGGGAGUGGAAUUCCAUGUGUAGCGGUGAAAUGCGUAGAUAUAUGGAGGAACACCGGUGGCGAAAGCGGCUCUCUGGUCUGUAACUGACGCUGAGGCUCGAAAGCGUGGGGAGCAAACAGG